AUCUUUCCCAUUAGCCAAAUUCAUUACAAAAUUAACCUCUGCACCCCCACUGGCUUUUUGCCCUUUCCCCUUUCCUCCCUUUCUCGUGCUCAAUCUCUGUUAAAAUUAGAACCUAUGGAAGGCAGAAGGAGGAAGAGUAGAAAAGAAAUGAACUCUCCAAAGUGACAGAGGCUAUUUCUUUCCAUCUGUCUGAAUCUAUGGGGCAUCCAUAGAGCUUCAAUGGAGAAUACCCCGGUGAAAGAGGGGAGGAGAAGAAAGUGCCUUCAUGAGCUCCAUGAUUGGUGAGAGAUCAGCCCAGGUGUCUUUUGAGGUCCCUUUGUUCAAAAUUCCUUUCCUGGAAAUGCCGAUGCCAGCCAAGCAGAGCCAUGCCAAGGCCCUCCCAGUUUCCUGCAGCAGCCUGACUCCCAGUUUCAGAGGUUAUUUUCCUUCAAAGCAACAAGAAGUAACAGAGCAAACUUCAGUUUUGCGAAAACACCGAUGGCAAGAAUGCAUUCACCCAGAAACAAGUGCUAUUCCUCUGUGCUCUCCUGGUCAGCGAACAUCAAGAGAGAACAGACUCUUUUGAGAAGCAAUUUCCUUUCCCCUUGACAUACAGGCCCUACAGCAGCUGCUGAGGAUGCAGGGGAGAAGGAGGCCAAGGAAAGGAAUUAAGCAAACUAUUCCAAAUGAGUAGGGAAGGUGCUGAUAGAUAACAAUAAAGACAAAGCAAGUUAGAAGUGGGUCAGGGCAAGAAGUAGUUCCUCUCCUGCUAACAAAUGUGUCUGGCCUGCUUCCAUGAUGAGCUCAUAUAUCUGACAAUAUCCUCGCUUUAAUGCUUUGCAGACCUCAGGUAUAUUAUCCUACCCUGAGCCUGAACCCUUGGGGGGGAGCCAUGCUGGGGAGGGAAGUGGGAACUGUGCACAUUGCAGCAGGACGCUCACAGCAGAGGGAUGGGGAUGCCUACAGUGGUUGGAAGGGAAUGGUGGGGGUGCUGGGAUGUUGGUGGUUCUGGAAUGGGGUUGGUGGUGGUACUGGGAUGGGGAUGCUUGGGGUAGGAUGGACAUGGUGGUGGUGCUGGCAUGGCGAUAUUCAUGGUGCUGUGAUGUCAGCGGUGCUGGGAUGGCAGUGUUGGUGAUGCUGGGACAGCGAUGUUAGCGGUGCUGGGAUGGGGAUGCCCUCGGGCAACGGACCAAGAGGUGGCGCUGACAGAUCGCCGUCGAGCAAAACACACUCUGUGAGCUCAGGCAGCAGAGGAAGGCAGAUACCCGGCACAGACAUAUUAGUCUCUCUUAUCUCCGUGCACUCGGGCUGGACGAGGAACUCUCAGACAUUAUAUCUCACGUCUGUCCUGCACAGAGCGCAGCCUCCCUGAGGAGAAGGGGAGCUGCUGGGUAAGGAGCGACACUCAGCAUGUGGCACUCAUCUCCCAGGUCUGAAGGCCACGGUCAAAGGCAGCUCUAAUUAAAUUAGAUGGAGGGAAGUGUUUUUCUGGUAAAGAAAACAUGAUUUCUUUGCUAAAUGGGAGGCUAAGGGGGUUCAGUGAAUGUGAAAAAUGCUUACUGUGCAGAAGAGGGAAUGCAAACUAUUUAUUUGCACAUCUCGGGCUGUUUCUGGGAAGUUUUCAUCCCUAACCAUGCCGUCUCUCCUUUUAGGUGUGGUGUAUGGAGGGGUUAAGCUCUGAAUGAGCCCCUGACACCGGGAAUUACAUUUUGCUGCUUGGCAGCUUCCAUUGGUUUUGCAGUUGCUGGGCUGCAAGGUACAUCCAAUUAGCAGGUGACUGCAGGUAAAAACCAGCCCAGCACACUUCGGCUGCCUUUUCCUCAACAUCUUAAAGCAUUUCUGGUGCUAGAUGUCGGUCACUGGAAAUCCCCACUGCCUAGUGAGACACUUCCGCUGGGGCUCCUCUUUCAAACACCACUGGGGAAAAGAACAAUGCAACUUCAUGUACAGCACUACAGAGAACAUAAUCAGUCUUUUCAGUAUGAGAAUGCACUAAAACGUUGGGUAAUAGUAAGAAGAAAGGCCCAGAGGAUGCUUAUUUUGGGCAGCAGGCACAUGCACAGCUGUUGGGUAGCUUUGCAAGAGUCCGUCUUCUCAAGGCAUCACAAGGAAGAAUGAACAUCAGCCUCAGGACAGAUGUUAGCAGCACAGUGAGCUCUCCUUGCCCAGCAUCCGCCUAAUGGGUACAAAUCUGCCAAUUAAGGGCUGAUUAAGGUUUGUCUUUAAACACAUCCUCAAUACUCAGCAAAGUGCUCGCAUGCAUUUAGCUAUUAGCAAUAGGACAAGGUCGUUGUCCCUUUCAUCUCAGGAUCUCAAAGCACUUGAUGAAACUUCACUGCCUUUCUCUGUGGUAGGUAAAAGCUAUAAUGUUAUUUUAAUAUCAUGAACCUAAUUUAUAGGGAUAAAUUACAGUGGGAGAUAAAGAGCACAUGGAUCCAUGUGGAUAAAAAUAAAAAUCCAUAUUGCCCCAUUAUCUGGCAUUGGUUAAGCUUCUGCUUGUAUAAGUUUUUUUGGCUAAUUUCUCUCCUUUUUCUUUUUAAUGAAAUGCUAUUUAUUUAUAGCUGAACGCCAACUUUGAAGCCAGAGCCAAGCAUUUGGGGAGCUGCUCAGAUAGGGCUCUUGAAAAGGAGAAUUAUGUCUGUUUCAGAUGUUUUCAGAAGUUAUUGUUUAAAAGCAACGAGAACUAUGACAUUUCUCCCAACGAGCUCGCCCUCCCCUCAUUAUUUCUAUGGAUGUGGACAAAGCAGAUGUCUCCAGAGCUGGGAGAAGAAGUGGUGACAAGUGUGUGUGUGGGGAAAGGGCGCUGGGGAGGGGAUCGGAUGAAAGAGGAUUUUAGUCAGGAAGCUUCAGAGGACCAGCACCGGUGCAAAUUGCUCCCCAAUGCCAUAUCCCAAUGCUCACAGGCCAGGAAAUGCCCAAAUGUGGCCAAGGGAUGUUUCAGCUUUCCCCCCCAUAAAGCCACCUUCCCAGCAGCUGGCCACUUUUUGUGGUGCCCCAUGGUUUUCCAUGGCAAGCUUUAUGCAUGUGAACUUCUGCAGGAAUCCUGAACUGAGGAGGGCUGAAGAGAUGAAGGAGCUCUCAGUGGUCAUUUUGGAGCUGUUUCUCUGUGGCAGAUUAACAGAAGGGCAGAGCUUAUCAGCACAACUGCC
ensembl:lncRNA